UCUUGGUCAUUUAGAGGAAGUAAAAGUCGUAACAAGGUCUCCGUUGGUGAACCAGCGGAGGGAUCAUUAUCGAGUUAUUCAACUCCCAAACCCUAUGUGAACUUACCACUUGUUGCUUCGGCGCGCGCUUCGGCGCCGCCGAGGACACUUAAACUCUUUGUUUUUAUAAGCAUUUCUGAGUGGCCGAAAGGCAAAAAUACAAAUGAAUCAAAACUUUCAACAACGGAUCUCUUGGUUCUGGCAUCGAUGAAGAACGCAGCGAAAUGCGAUAAGUAAUGUGAAUUGCAGAAUUCAGUGAAUCAUCGAAUCUUUGAACGCACAUUGCGCCCGCCAGCAUUCUGGCGGGCAUGCCUGUUCGAGCGUCAUUUCAACCCUCGAGCCCGACUCUUUUGAGGACGGCUCGGCGUUGGGGGACGGCAGACUCCCCCCGGCAUCUCGCCGGGGACGCCGCCCCCGAAAUCUAGUGGCGGCCCUCCGAGGCGACCUCUGCGUAGUAACUUGUUCUCGCACCGGAAAGCUCAGAGCGGCCACGCCGUAAAACCCCAACUUUUUUCAGGUUGACCUCGAAUCAGGUAGGAC
rnacentral:rRNA from 1 species